rnacentral:tRNA from 1 species
AGUUAAUGAGCUUGUACAAGCAUAUAUUUUGAAAAUAUAAGAAAGAAGAAAAACCUUCUAUUGACUC